CUACGUGCCAGCAGCCGCGGUAAUACGUAGGGUGCGAGCGUUAAUCGGAAUUACUGGGCGUAAAGCGAGCGCAGACGGUUACUUAAGCAGGAUGUGAAAUCCCCGGGCUCAACCUGGGAACUGCGUUCUGAACUGGGUGACUAGAGUGUGUCAGAGGGAGGUAGAAUUCCACGUGUAGCAGUGAAAUGCGUAGAUAUAUGGAGGAACACCGGUGGCGAAAGCGGCUCUCUGGUCUGUAACUGACGCUGAGGCUCGAAAGCGUGGGGAGCAAACAGGAUUAGAUACCCUGGUAGUCCACGCCGUAAACGAUGAGUGCUAGGUGUUAGGCCCUUUCCGGGGCUUAGUGCCGCAGCUAACGCAUUAAGCACUCCGCCUGGGGAGUACGACCGCAAGGUUGAAACUCAAAGGAAUUGACGGGGGCCCGCACAAGCGGUGGAGUAUGUGGUUUAAUUCGACGCAACGCGAAGAACCUUACCAGGUCUUGACAUUGAUGGACAGAACUAGAGAUAG
rnacentral:rRNA from 1 species